AUGCACCGAAGCUGCGGCAGCGACACUAUGUGUUGUUGGGUAGGGGAGCGUUCUGUAAGCCUGUGAAGGUGUGUCGUGAGGCAUGCUGGAGGUAUCAGAAGUGCGAAUGCUGACAUAAGUAACGAUAAAGCGGGUGAAAAGCCCGCUCGCCGGAAGACCAAGGGUUCCUGUCCAACGUUAAUCGGGGCAGGGUGAGUCGACCCCUAAGGCGAGGCCGAAAGGCGUAGUCGAUGGGAAACGGGUUAAUAUUCCCGUACUUGGUGUUACUGCGAAGGGGGGACGGAGAAGGCUAUGUUGGCCGGGCGACGGUUGUCCCGGUUUAAGCGUGUAGGUGUGUGUUCCAGGUAAAUCCGGUUCACUUUAACACUGAGGCGUGACGACGAGGCACUACGGUGCUGAAGCAACAAAUGCCCUGCUUCCAGGAAAAGCCUCUAAGCAUCAGGUAACAUCAAAUCGUACCCCAAACCGACACAGGUGGUCAGGUAGAGAAUACCAAGGCGCUUGAGAGAACUCGGGUGAAGGAACUAGGCAAAAUGGUGCCGUAACUUCGGGAGAAGGCACGCUGACACGUAGGUGAAGUGAUUUACUCAUGGAGCUGAAGUCAGUCGAAGAUACCAGCUGGCUGCAACUGUUUAUUAAAAACACAGCACUGUGCAAACACGAAAGUGGACGUAUACGGUGUGACGCCUGCCCGGUGCCGGAAGGUUAAUUGAUGGGGUCAGCGCAAGCGAAGCUCCUGAUCGAAGCCCCGGUAAACGGCGGCCGUAACUAUAACGGUCCUAAGGUAGCGAAAUUCCUUGUCGGGUAAGUUCCGACCUGCACGAAUGGCGUAAUGAUGGCCAGGCUGUCUCCACCCGAGACUCAGUGAAAUUGAACUCGCUGUGAAGAUGCAGUGUACCCGCGGCAAGACGGAAAGACCCCGUGAACCUUUACUAUAGCUUGACACUGAACAUUGAGCCUUGAUGUGUAGGAUAGGUGGGAGGCUUUGAAGUGUGGACGCCAGUCUGCAUGGAGCCGACCUUGAAAUACCACCCUUUAAUGUUUGAUGUUCUAACGUGGACCCGUGAUCCGGGUUGCGGACAGUGUCUGGUGGGUAGUUUGACUGGGGCGGUCUCCUCCUAAAGAGUAACGGAGGAGCACGAAGGUUGGCUAAUCCUGGUCGGACAUCAGGAGGUUAGUGCAAUGGCAUAAGCCAGCUUGACUGCGAGCGUGACGGCGCGAGCAGGUGCGAAAGCAGGUCAUAGUGAUCCGGUGGUUCUGAAUGGAAGGGCCAU
rnacentral:rRNA from 1 species